AUUGAACGCUGGCGGCAUGCUUUACACAUGCAAGUCGAACGGUAACAGGCCUUCGGGUGCUGACGAGUGGCGAACGGGUGAGUAAUGCAUCGGAACGUGCCCAGAGGUGGGGGAUAACGCAGCGAAAGCUGUGCUAAUACCGCAUGUGAUCUGAGGAUGAAAGCGGGGGACCAAGCAGCAAUGUUUGGCCUCGCGCCUCUGGAGCGGCCGAUGUCAGAUUAGGUAGUUGGUGGGGUAAAGGCCUACCAAGCCGACGAUCUGUAGCUGGUCUGAGAGGACGACCGCCACCACGGGAACUGAGACCCGCCCCGACCUCCUACGGAAGGCGGCAGUGGGGAAUUUUGGCCAAUGGGCGCAGCCUGAUCCAGCAAUGCCGCGUGCGGGAAGAAGGCCUUCGGGUUGUAAACCGCUUUUGUACGGAACGAAAAGGCUCUGGCUAAUACCUGGGGCUGAUGACGGUACCGUAAGAAUAAGCACCGGCUAACUACGUG
rnacentral:rRNA from 1 species